ACAAAAGCACACUUUUAUUUCUUAGCAUCUUUUUUCUUUUAUUUCUUAAACUUGGUAUUUUUUUCAUAGCAAUUUUUCAAUAAACUUUCUCCGUUCUCUUAAAAAAAAAAAAAAAAAUUGUAAUAUCUUUCUGAAACACAAAUUCCUUGAUGAAGUUUCGCUCUUCGGUUUUUAAAAUAUAAUAUAUAUAUAAAUUAUAUAUAAAUAUAUAUAAUUCUCUAUAUAAUAUCUAGAGAAUGUAAAUUCUCUAUUAAAAUUUGCUUUUUUCCUUACACUUUUUAAGUUUGAUAACUUUUUAAAGAUAUAAAUUUUCGAAUGUGAAAAAGUUUUUUUUUCUUUUUUCCUAAGGUUUUAACAUCGCGUCAACUGCACGUGCGUUAUUAAAUGACGACGACGAUGUAGACACCGAGGACUGGCAAUACCACGGGCAUUAAAUUUCGUUACACAACACCGUGCCUUUCAGAAAGAAGAAAAUUUCUAAUAUUUCUGCCUGAAACCGAGAUUUGCUUCGUUCAUUGUUCCUUUAACGCGGAAUUAAAAAUUGUUUAUAAUCUUCUUAGUUUCUUAGAUACUUGAAAGUUUACUCGAGCAUUGUCGAGCUCUUGAAACUUACAAAACUGCGAAACUCUGAUCUACGUUCCAUUCAGGUCAGCCACGGAGCCGACAAUACGAAUUUAAGAAUGCAACAUAAAAUAUACCUAAAAUAAGGAUCAAGUAACCUAAACAAUUCAUAAAUCUAUCCUAAACUGUCAGCUGUUGAAAAAUCUCUCUCUCUCUCUCUCUCUCUCUCUUUCUGAAAACUUCCUUCAAAAUCUGAACGCAAUGUGACAUUCAAUUUCUAACAUCAAAAAACGGUCGACUAGAUCCGUGAAACUUUUUGAAUUUCUGCACGAAACGUAAGGUUUUGCAGGGAUGCAGUUAGGAAAUUUCGUUCGUGACGGAUGAUGGAAAAAAGAGAGGGACAGAGACGGAUCACGAGCAGGGAAGGAAAAGAGGAAAAGGGGUGCAAAGAAGGAUGGAGAAUCUCGCGUGCUUUUUCCGUGAUCCCAUUGUUUUCGCUUCGGAAAACUUUUUCCUACACUUUUGUUUGUAAAUGAAGGAUGGCCUGGCCGCAGGGUUUACCCACUUUUCUCCUAGAGCCACGGAACAAUAUAACGUCGAAUGUCCGCUUUCCCCUUUCUACACUGCAUGGUAAUAGUUGUUGUAAAUCACUGCUGAAUUAAUUCUCGCCCUUUCUUUUUUCCCUCUCUCGCUUUCUCCUCCCUUUCGCGACGUUAACACGAGUUACGAUUGUCCCUCCCUUUUCGUUGUUUGGAAAUGGCACAUGUUUGUUCAAACGUGGAACACAAACGUGAGAAAUAUCGCGCAAACCUUUGGGUUUUAAUUCUUCUGGUUUUUGGUCUUCGACUGUGCUCUUCUCCCAACUCUGUGAUUUAUAAAAACUGCGUAAACACAUACAGAGCAACUUUUUCACGGUUGACCAUUUGAGAAGGUGUUAAUUAAUUAGGCGUGUAAUUGCUAUUACUUACAUCUCCUUAACUGUACCUUCUGCAACGUUAAAGUUCUCACAACGUUACUUUCCUACAACGUAAAUCUCUCACCAAUGCCCGACAGCUCAAAAAUUUACCACCACUUUUGCGAUUAUCUCUUUCGAUAACCCCUCCCAAAUCCUAAUCAUUCUCAACGUUUACCGCGCCGUACGUUAACCUCUGCUCAUAUUUACCACCAGCGACGUUUGGCUCCUCGACCGUUAACUGGUUUCAAUUUUUAUCAGCCUCGACGUUUACCUGUACUAAAUCUUAAGCAUUCUCAACGUAUACCUCACCCUGCGUUAACUUGCGUUAACUGAGUUUACCAUAAACCUACAUUUACCUUCUGCAACGUUAACAUUUUCUAAUGUUUAUCAUUCUUAACAUCUACCUCUUCCAAACCUGCAUUUCCAGCGUUUAUCAGCAUCCUACGUUAACCUCGCCCAAUAUUUACCACUGCCAACGUUUACCGUAACCUGCAUUUACCUCCUGCAACGUUAACAUUUUCUAAUGUUUAUCAUUCUCAACGUCUACCUCUUCCAAAACUGCAUUUCCAGCGUUUAUCAGCAUCCUACGCUAAUCUCGCCCAAUAUUUACCACUGCCAACGUUUACCGUAACCUGCAUUUACCUCCAGCAACGUUAACAUCGCCUAGUGUUUAUUACUCUCAACAUUUGUUUCUUCCAAACCUGCAAACCUUAACCAUUUCCAGCGUUUACCAGCAUCCUACGUUAACCUCGCCCAAUAUUUACCACUGCCAACGUUUACCGUAAACCUACAUUUACCUCCUGCAACGUUAAUUUCUCCUAAUUUUUUAUCACUGUCAACAUUUACCUCUUGCAAACCUUGACCAUCGCCAACGUUCAUCAUAUGCCUACGUUUACUAGCAACACCCCACAUUUAUCUCCUGCAACGUUAACGUCCCCCAAUGUUCAUCACUCGCAACGUUUAUCUCUCUCAAACCUUAACCACCCCCAACGUUCAUCACUACCCUCCGUUUAUCUCGUCCAGCGUUAACCAUCCCCCAACAUUUACCAUUCCCAACGUUAACUUGGUCUCCGACCUUAAAUUCCCUUCAACGCACAGUGUGACACUUGCUUUGAAAAGCUUGACGAAACUAUCUUAACGUUUGCUGGAUCUUCAAAUGCCCGUACCGUUGCUAAAAUUCAUGCAAGAUCGAUGAGACAAAAAUCAUUUUGGAAAUUGAACUCUCUGCUUCUCGACCCUUCCAGGCGAUCUUAUCCAAGUGAAAUCCGCCCUAUACCAAACUGUAAAAAAUCAUAUAAGAUAAAUCGAUCGAUCAAGAGUGUUUCGUUACUAAAUAUAGUAAUAUAUGGUAGACAUAAAAAGUAGAUAUACUAAAUAUGAGAAGAUCGCGCAAAGUGGAGUUAACUACUUUCGCCUGUGGACGUUUCAAAUGGCGAUUAAUUUCACUCGCAAUCAAGUAAUCGUCGAGCCGUCUUGAAUCAGUCGGUCGAUCGUUUUAAAAUGACCAAAGAAUGAUGCGUUAAUCUAAAAAAAGAACAGCUGGUAGGGAUUACAGAGCGCAGUUGGCGAAUCACGUGGUUUGAAGCGUUUAACGCGAUUCGAUCGAAGAGAUUCGCGGGUGGAAUUCACGUGUCGAGGCUGUAAGCUUUGAAAGUUUCGUCGGCUGGUUGUUUAACUAGCGCACUGCGCCUGCCUGAUGCACGCAAUGCGCCAUUUGUCUUAAAAACUAGACAAACUCGCCGGAUUGCAGCAUUAGGGGCUCGUCGUAAUGAGAAUUGGAACGCGUUUCAUACGCUGUCUCAGAAACGAGAAUUUUUUUCGCUGAACGAAUUUCUCGCGCAACUCGUGAAUUAUAGUCGCUGCUAUAAGGUAGCUUUGGAUUCGCUCAGCUUAGGAUCAGACUUUUAUUAAUUUACAUUGCGAUCAGAUAAAGUUGGGAUAAUUUUCCAUCGAGUCAGGUUAAAUAUUAGGCUUACAUUAAUUUCGACUAAGAAUAGGUUAAGUUGAAAGUAGUUUUAGCUUAGCUCUGAACCGACUUAGGUUAGCUUUGGAUCGGACGCCUUAAAUUAAUUUGGAUUAAGGCUCGAUUAGAUUUCGAUCAGGCGUGGAUUAAUCUGUAUUAAAACUGGAUUAAGUUUAGAUCGAAUACUAAUUAAUUCUUAAUUAGUUUUAGAAUGGGAUUGGAUAGGCUUAGGUUAGGUUUGAAUCAGGCUUGAGAUCAACUUUGCAUCAGACAUCGAAUACUUUUUAAAUUAGUUUCACGUUAGAUUUGAGCGGAGCUUAAGCCAGGCUUGGACCAAUUUCCAUUAACUUUUUCUUCCUAGUAGAUAAAACUAUAAACGGUUAUAUUUCAGUGCAAAACGGUCAUAGGAUAAAGUCGAUAGUAACGAUAGCAGUUACCAAAGAUGCCAAAAUGUAACCGGAAUUAAAUGGAGACCGUAGGAGCUUUUCAAAGCAAACGGAACCGCAGAAAGAAUCCAAAACAGACGAUGCUAUGAAAGCCAACCGAAGUAAAUGAAAAUGGAGCAAAAGGAAGGUCAAAGAUAAGGCGGAGGAAUCGAGGACAAAUCUGGAGGGAUAUUGGAUAGAAUGUAGGGGAAAUCGUAAAGAGAAGGAAUUAAGGAAAAUACACGCUUCGGGGUGAAAAAAGAACUCGUAAAAGACUAAACGGCAGCGAGAGAAGGGAGUCAAGGAGAUAGGAGAACAAAGGCAGAGAAGAGAGACAAAGAAGCCGGGAAAAAGGGAAAUAAAGAGAGAAAAAGUGAGUCGGCCACGAGUGCACGAGCUGUGGAAAACGAGGUGAGCGCGAGGAUUGGCCAACGAUGCCAUCAUGGCGACUGUACGCGUCCAAUCACAGGCCACGAAUUUCUUUCUACCAAUCCGUCAUUGAUUUUAGGUUUAUGAAUGGGACACGCUUACGCUACCCGCGUUUCUUUCAAGAUAUGUACAUACUACGAGAUUUGCCAGCAACAUCUCGGCUUCCACAAAAUCUUACGUCACACGUUCCAUCGAUUCUCACGUUCUACUCAACAGACACUGCAAAGUGUACAAUGUAGCAAACUAUAGUAUUGUAGCAAGCUACGUGUAAAAGGAACAAAUUCUUUUAUCGAAGAAUAAUUAAAGCGCAAGAAGGAAUGGCACAAGAUUUACGAUGCAACGAGAAGAAACAUUUGCUCUCACAUUGGUAUAAUCUAGCAAAGUAUCAUUCAGAUCUCUAGAAAAAUGGAAUUAAACCAGUUUUGUAAUGUACAUUUGUAAACUACAGUCUACUAAUUUGAAGUUUUCUUAAGCAAUAAAAAUCGUGCUAGAUACGUUCAAGGAGUUACUUCCGCAAAAGUCCCUAGCAGGCUAUCUCUUGGUCGAGACAAAAGUGAGGUUAGAAUAUAGAAAUCGAAGGGGGCUAAACGAUAGACCGAUAAAAGCAAACGAGCAGUGAAAACAGUAAAUAAUAACUUCGUCGGAUACAUUUCAACAGACUCGCAAUCAAGCAAAGGCCGUCCAAUUAAAAAACGCGCCGUACGACUUCCCCCGAUAGAAUAGCCAACAAAUUCAUCGAUGUUCGUUUUUAAAAUCCUCCAAGCUAUCCAGACUCUGUACAAGCAACUAACGACGUUCCACGCUUCAGAACGUACGAUACACAUCAUCAAACCGUGGAAUUAGAUAAACAAAAAACGAAAAACAAAAGAGAGAGAAAGAACAAGUUCCGUAAACAUUACCCAUCCGCAUCGGUCAGAAUGGCAGAAAGUUCGGUCGAAUAAAUUCGUCACACAUCGAAGCACCAGCCGUCAUUAAACUAACCCCCCGUACGAUCCAUAAUUUCCCCUCCAACUGCAUUUCACCCCGUGUUUGCACGCUAACGAGCGCUAAUAUAUAUAUAUUUUCACCGGGUAUAACGAGACUCGAGUGCCUAUGAGAAAAUGCAACCGUGUUUCCAGUUAAAUCCGACCCUCCACGAAAACGCCGACGACCCCAGCAGUGGGAUUAAGCGUUUGCUUGGUUACUUCCAGACACUAGAAUCUAGGGGGUUUGGGCGCCAAGUGUCGGCAGUUGCGCCGUUUCCAUCGAAGCAGGGAGCCUCCACGAGGUGAACGAUUUUAUUUGUAAAAGUUGUAAUCUAAGAUGAUACAAGCCGUAGCGUGGUACGCUAAGUUUUCAAAUAUUUGCUUCGAUACAUACAGAGGCGGAUGAGAGAAGAUUUAAAAUUGAUAGACUAUAAACCUCGAUAACCUUCGUAUGGGAUCGGUACGGUAUGAAUUUUAGCAUAACUUUUCUAUUAAAUUGACACACUAUGAAUUUUAUGCCGAAAGUUUGUUAAUACGAUUUCCAGUUUUAAGUUAUAGGUUACAAGUUGAGAUUGUUCGUUUUAAAGGUUAGGCGAAGAGUAUGGGUUAGGUUAACUUGAACGCGAUAGCCAAUCGGCCAUGUAGAGGUUAAGGAAAGUUUGCGAUUAGUGAUAUUGUUUCCAAACACAUAUUUUAUGUAUGGAUUAAGUAAUAAAAUAUUAUUAUUGUUGUU